CAGGAUAUGUUUUGAGGAUUCUGACGAAUGGGGAAAAAGAGAAGCUGUGUAAAUUUUGAACUGUACAUUUUUUCUAUCAAGCAGGAACAGUGCACCUUCAAUUUUAAAAUAAAACCAUAAAAAGGGCAACCUCUAAAAUUCCUGGAGCAUGUCUGUGCGGAUGUCGGGACCAUGCCUUCCUCACCUCCCACAUGCAUCUAUCACCUGUAAAGAUGGAUGUCUUUGCUGAGAAUAUGUGAUCUCCAGAAAUGAAGAUGCAUUUCAUUUUGGCGUAGCAAUAUAAUAAAGAAAUCUUGAGAAGGCAUUUAAGAUUUGUUCCAUUGAAGGCAGUUCAUUGAUUUUUUAAGAAAAUAUAUGGUCAUGUCCAGGCAGUUUCACAGUUGCCAACGAUUGGAUAACAGUAAGCUUUACCUAAGCAGUAUUCUAUCAAAGGAUGUGCCACGCACUGACUCUCUGGAGGAGACAGGGACCCAGGUCGGCAUGAGCUAAGCAGCACACUGGAGGGCUCCUGC